GACGAACGCUGGCGGCGUGCUUAACACAUGCAAGUCGAACGGAAAGGCCCUGCUUUUGUGGGGUGCUCGAGUGGCGAACGGGUGAGUAACACGUGAGUAACCUGCCCUUGACUUUGGGAUAACUUCAGGAAACUGGGGCUAAUACCGGAUAGGAGCUCCUGCUGCAUGGUGGGGGUUGGAAAGUUUCGGCGGUUGGGGAUGGACUCGCGGCUUAUCAGCUUGUUGGUGGGGUAGUGGCUUACCAAGGCGUUGACGGGUAGCCGGCCUGAGAGGGUGACCGGCCACAUUGGGACUGAGAUACGGCCCAGACUCCUACGGGAGGCAGCAGUGGGGAAUAUUGCACAAUGGGCGGAAGCCUGAUGCAGCAACGCCGCGUGCGGGAUGACGGCCUUCGGUUUGUAAACCGCUUUCGCCUGUGACGAAGCGUGAGUGACGGUAAUGGGUAAAGAAGCACCGGCUAACUACGUG
rnacentral:rRNA from 1 species